GAUGAACGCUGGCGGCGUGCCUAAUACAUGCAAGUCGAGCGAACAGACGAGGUGCUUGCUCCUCUGACGUUAGCGGCGGACGGGUGAGUAACACGUGGAUAACCUACCUAUAAGACUGGGAUAACUUCGGGAAACCGGAGCUAAUACCGGAUAAUAUAUUGAACCGCAUGGUUCAAUAGUGAAAGACGGUUUUGCUGUCACUUAUAGAUGGAUCCGCGCCGCAUUAGCUAGUUGGUAAGGUAACGGCUUACCAAGGCAACGAUGCGUAGCCGACCUGAGAGGGUGAUCGGCCACACUGGAACUGAGACACGGUCCAGACUCCUACGGGAGGCAGCAGUAGGGAAUCUUCCGCAAUGGGCGAAAGCCUGACGGAGCAACGCCGCGUGAGUGAUGAAGGUCUUCGGAUCGUAAAACUCUGUUAUUAGGGAAGAACAAAUGUGUAAGUAACUAUGCACGUCUUGACGGUACCUGAUCAGAAAGCCACGGCUAACUACGUG
rnacentral:rRNA from 1 species